rnacentral:rRNA from 1 species
UACGUAGGGUGCGAGCGUUAAUCGGAAUUACUGGGCGUAAAGCGUGCGCAGGCGGUUUUGUAAGACAGGCGUGAAAUCCCCGGGCUCAACCUGGGAACUGCGCUUGUGACUGCAAGGCUAGAGUACGGCAGAGGGGGGUGGAAUUCCACGUGUAGCAGUGAAAUGCGUAGAGAUGUGGAGGAACACCGGUGGCGAAGGCGGCAUCCUGGACCGGUAUUGACGCUGAGGCGCGAAAGCCAGGGGAGCAAACGGG